UUUUAUUUCACUUACUGUAAAUGUGAGUUAGAGCAAAUAGGCUCCUGAUGGUUAGCUGGGCUGGCUACUUUAGCCUUGCAGGAGGCAGUGUAUUACAAUGGCAGUAGAUGUUUGGGAGUCAGGUGUAUAAUUUUGGCUUCACUACCUACUGGGUGUGAGGCUUAACCUCUCUGAGUUUUAGUUUCCUCUUCUGUACAGUAGGGUUAAUACAUUUUCCCUAGGUCAUUUCUAACUUUUAUAUAAGCUCACAAAUGUAAAACAAAAAACUGUAUGGUAGGAUAUUUCUAGGCAAAUCAAUGUAUGUUAUGGUCCCUCUUGCUUUUCUUUGACUUAAAUGGAAUCAAUCAUUGCAUUGGAUAAGAAGGGAAGCAGUACUGGUUGAGUGAACACUGUGAAUUUGGAGGACGUGUGCUGGACCUCAGCCAUACCUCUAACACAUUGGGUAACCUUGGACACACAACGUGACCUCACAGAACUCCAGUUCCCUCUGUCAUAAUCUGGAAUGAUGAUAUCAAUCAAGUGAAGCAGCUAUCACAGGGUCUGGAACAUAGUACAUCCCAGCCUUCUUGCACAUAGAAACACUACACAGCACUUCAGCUGUAUGUUUGGGGGCCAUUUUAAACAGCAAAAUCAUCAACAGGAAGCAGAAAAUUGUAAAAAUUGUGGCACUAAAUAGACCAUGUAAAGGACACAUGUUUGCAAUAAGAAAGCUGAAACAAGAAGGGGGAGUGUCACCUUAUUUGAUCCAGCUAGAAACUCAGGUGCUGGUAUUCCAGCAACACUCAGGCGGCUGCUCCAGGAGGCUGCAGAGGGGUCCUUUUUAGCCGUCAACAAAACUGGCUAUGGUCACGCCCAUUGGGAAACUCAUUGCUGCCUUCAAGGUUCUGUCAAUAGAAGAUACUAAAGAAAGAAAGCCAGGAGAAGAAAAGGGACUUCUUUCUUCAAGGUCUAAGCUGUUCUAAUAGCAUUAUUCUGGGAAUGGCAUCUUCCACUCCUCCUAGUACAAAGAACCUGCUUCCUCAUACCCCGUCAAGGAACUGCAGCAUCCAGGUGAUGGCCACAGUGGCAGAACCUAGGAAGCCAAGAAGAAACCAGAGAAUGGAGACACAUGGCAGCAAUGGCAAGUCAUCAGACCCAGGAUUUCCCAAAGAACACUGGUCCAGGAAGAUGCUCUGUGAAAAAGUGUUCCCUGGUCGGAGAAAUUUGUGAAACACUUUGCAUAAUACUUAAAAGAAUGUAUGGCACAUCAAAGGUAAUAUGCAAUAAAAGAAUUCAUUUUUUUAAAACCAAGCAUAUGCACAACUUAUUUAACUAUGGAUUCGAUUUUUAGAUUCAUAUUUUUUGACCCACAUUUGUGGAGCCACAUCCAUAGAACAGAUUUGACCAUGCUUAUGGUUAUCAUUAAAAAAUUUUUUUAAAUUCAGAUUGAUUUUGGAAUUGGUUUCCCAUCAUAGUUCAAGUAGAUACUGUCCCAAACAAUCUGAAAUCAAGAAAUUAGCAAAUGGGCUUGUUGUUUGUGGAUUUGAAUGGAUUGAAUUCCUACAGCAUUGAAGAAAGAUAUAUUUUAAAGCCUAUUUUUGGAAAAAUACUCUUAGUUGGGUAUUUCAUUUGAUUUGGUACACAGUAGUCAUAAAUUGCCAUCUUUUUCUGCUGUACUUUAUCCUAAAUAUAUUCCAUGGUAUGUUUUCAUAAUUAACAUGCAAAUAGAUGUAUAGUUUAUAAUUAAUUUCAACUGGGCACAGUGAAAAUCUUGAAAACCUCAGCAUGGAGGCAUCUUUGUUGGUAGAAAUUCAAUGAAAUCCCCAAACAUCUUUGGUUUUGCAAUCCAUAAUUUGCAGAUUAUUAAUACAAUAAAUCCUUGUUGUCUGUGAGAGUUGGCAUCGUACCCAUGAACUCCUGUGUAGAAAGCCUACAAACUAAAAGUCCAAAUGGAAAGAAAAAAUCACGUGGUUUCUGUGUAUGCUCAUUACCUGCUUCUGAAACCAUAAUAUCUCGGCCUUUUAUAGAUCUUAUAACAGUCUCCGCAGGAAGCAGCUGCAGUCAUUAGCCAUAGGACAGACUAAACACACAAUCUGCAUGGAAGGAGGCCUGGAUCAGCUUGGUCUUUCAGAUCUCUAAUCUCAGGCACAGGAAAGCACCAUCAACAGCACCCUUUGUAUAUAUACAUAAAGGUAACAUAUUUUAUCAUUUAAAGGGAUUUGAGAAAUUGAAGAGGCCCAACUCUUUUUCUGCCUUCUUUGGUUUGAGGCUUAGAUUGCUUAAGGGGCUUGCCCAGGAUCACAUAUCUUGUAAGAGACAGAGCAAGGAUUCAAAGCCAGUGCUGGCUUCUGUGUCUCCAUUCUUUCCAUUCUCCUCCAGUGGCUCUUUUGGGAAGCUGAGGGAGGAACAGCAGCAGAAUUGGGUGGCACCUGCCCAUGCCCAUCAUGCACUGAGCAUCUUCAGGUCUGGCCAUGGACCCCUUAAUUCCUAAUCCAGAAUUCCUCCCAUCACUCUUUGCUGAGAAAAGCACUAAAAUGGAGAUAUUUGUUCCAAAAUCCCAAAUUUUAAUUCCAUAGAGCAAAGUGUCUUUAUUUUUAAAUCAUCCAACUCAUCAUAAAUUCAGCUGGAUUCAUUAGAGUUAAAGAAUUGACAACACCAAACAUUUUGUAACAGAAGUUACUGCUGCUUAAGGAGUUAGGGUUCACCUUUUCCAGAGCUCUUCAGUGCCAACCCAGCACCAAUAUCCCAGCGUCGCUGGAGGGAAUGAUGGCGCCCUGCAUUUCAGAGAAGAUUUAAAACCGAGAUCCUAACUGCUCAUCAUCAUUAAAAAUCUCCAGGCAGUUUUCAUAAGAGCAAGGGGGUGGUUGCCUGAGGUUUUGGCUGACAGUCAACCCAACUAAUUACAUUCUGUCUACUGUGUCCUCCCGCAGUUUCAAUUGGAUAUGUUUUUUUUUUUAUUUCCUGUCCUAAUCUGAAUGUAGGGUUGCUAUGUGUUCUUAAGCAGAUGCUGCUGUUCUUGCUGGUAGAAGAGGCUUUUCAGAUUUGUUUUUUUCCUCACAGAAAGUUUUUGAGACUUUAAAUAAAAUAAUUCUUCUAAAUGUUCCUAAGAUCCUGGCACCAAAUACAUUCUAAAUGCAAUGUGUGCAGCAUGAAGGAAUUGCAAAGAUAGCAAGUAGAUAAAAGACGUACUUCACAGGAGCAUCCAGCCUCCUAUAG
rnacentral:lncRNA from 1 species